CCGACGUAAAAGUAUAACAUAAUUAUUAAUAGAUUAUAGUUAUAAUCUGAAUCCUACGGUAUUGUAAUCCGCUAAACAGCCAUGUAUAAAUAGAGUAACUUUCCGAGUGAUUUCAUUUCACUUUCAAAACAUUUGUAAAGUAAUAAAAGUUGUUUUAAUAACAUGUGCCGUUGUGAGAGUUUCCAUCACGUUUCAGCACGGCAGGUCUAAUGACGGCGAUGCUAUCAGCUCAUUCCGAAGGAAGAAAUUCUGAAACAUCAAAUACUAAGGCUUACACGGGUAACCCCCUAUAACGCGGUAAUGUGGUUCCGCGUUAAAGGACAACGCGUUAAUGAGCGUAUAGUUUCCAUAUAAUGUGUAUUUACGGCCUC